rnacentral:lncRNA from 1 species
GUUUCCGAAACCAUUAUUAAGAUAGUCUUGAUAAUAUAUGUCUAAAACUAUGAAUCACAAGACAUGUAAGUUAUAGAGAUCCAUCCAUCAUGGAUCUUAGCAAGCUAGUGGGAGCUAUAAGCGUCUUAUGAGAGAAAGAUCAAAUCGUUUGAUUUCUCAUAAAGAUGUAAAUGAAUCUUUUGUUUACUAGGUUUACAAAAGAUUAGUGGGAGUUAAUCAUAUUCCUAAAUUUGUGUAUAUAUAUAUAUAUGAUAUAUUAAUUUUGGAAAUGAAAAGAAUACUUCUUCGUUAAAGUUAUGACUUUAAACAUUCUAUAAUGAUAGAAUGUAUAUGGGAGACAUAGUCUAAAUACAUGGGAUAGAAAUCUAUAAUGAUAUAUUUCAAGAUAUAAUUCGAUUAUAUCAAUCCCUAAUAAUAGACAAUAGAUGCUAGGAAGUUUCUCAUAUGAUGAUAAACUUCAAUUAGAAGGACGACUCUAGUGAGACUAGCAAGUUGCCAUUCUCAAAGGGAACGUGCCUUUUAACUCCCAAAGAAAUAAUGCAUAAAUAGAAUCCUUUAUGCAUACGUAGAAAGGUGAUUUAUGAAUUUCAUAUUGUAUGAAAACAUUGAUAUGAGUUGUACCUAGACAGGUACAAGACGAUAUCAGUGCAAGCCCAGGAUCAGAACCACGACAACUGCCAAGUGAAUCCUUAAGUAUUUAAGAAAUACUAAAGGAUAAAUUCCUCAAAGAAUGAGGAAGAAUUAGAGUAACGUAAAGGAAGCGUAAAUGUAUUAGAUUAUGAAUCUAAUCCAUCAUUGGAUGUUUCUUCAUUAUGAAUGAAGAGAUAAUCAGAUAUCUUUUUAUUAUGACUAAAGAGAUAUUUGGAUGGAAACAUUAAAAGUAAUAACUCUAGUGUGUUCCAUUAUGAAUGCAUAUAUAUUCCUAUAUAGAAGCUUACAAACAAUGUUGUUUGGAUAGGAAAGUUCAUUUAUGAACUCUCUAUUCGGCUCCAACCAGAAAGUGUCUCUAGUGUACCGACACUACGACACUAAUGGGGCGAUAGCUCAAGCCAGGGAAUCAAGGUCUCAUCAAGAUCCGAACUCAAAUGAGAAACUGAACCACAUGAUUAAGAAUCAUGUAUAAUGGUGACGUCGUAAUUCUCAAGGUUGCUUCUAUGGAUAACAUAUAGAUAUCCAUUGUCUAGGCCUACUAUUUAGCCAUUUUUGAAAUGACUACAGAAGAGGUAUCAUCACUGAUGACCAAGCUGAUUGGCUCUAGUACAAGUGGGAGAUUGUUGGAAAUGUGCCCUAAAACCAAUCAUAUAAUGAUACUUUACGGACAUUUCACAUGUUAAACUAAUCUAGUUUAAUAUCAAGGGCAAAGAUUAUUGUUUUAAGC